rnacentral:rRNA from 1 species
CAGUCGCCGCGGGAAUACGAAGGGGGCUAGCGUUGUUCGGAAUUACUGGGCGUAAAGCGCACGUAGGCGGAUAUUUAAGUCAGGGGUGAAAUCCCGCAGCUCAACUGCGGAACUGCCUUUGAUACUGGGUAUCUUGAGUAUGGAAGAGGUUAGUGGAAUUGCGAGUGUAGAGGUGAAAUUCGUAGAUAUUCGCAGGAACACCAGUGGCGAAGGCGGCUAACUGGUCCAUAACUGACGCUGAGGUGCGAAAGCGUGGGGAGCAAACAGGAUUAGAUACCCGGGUAGUCCCUGUCUCUUAUAC